CUAGUUUCCAGAUAUGGCGCGGGGAAGUUACUUAGGAACAGUGAGUAACUUUGGCCAAAAAUGACAGCGACAUGCUCUGGGGCUCACUCCUAAAGGAAAUGAGAACGUGAGCGCCUAGCACCCAAAAAGCAUACAUAAACGUUUCUCAAUGCUUUUAAGCUUUUAAGGCUUUUUAACAAAGAAUCAGGCUUUUCAAAGGUGACUCAACAUUUGAUAUCGCCACGAAGGGUUGCCCGCUUUUUUACGAAAAACCACUCAGUAAUUGUAGGCUCAUGUUCUUCCUUCGAAGGAGAGAAUAACUGCAACAGAGCCUUGAUAAGGGGUAAAAAUACUUAAGACAAAACCAUGUAGUGUCAUAUCAGUUUUGGGAAAUAAAAACCAAUUACUGAGCUUUCCAUUAAAAAGUCAGUUAUCUGAAAAACGCUUAGGACAGCGGCUGGUAAAAAUAAGUGCCGUGUGUUUAUUAAAUUAGAAAUAAAUACGAACCGAACAACUGUUAAUCCCCAGCUCAGGGUCCCUUCUCCCUAGACCCAGUCCCUGCCCCGCAUUCUGUACUGUCCCUGCAAGUUGGAAACUGCUAAUCUCUUCAUAGUUAAAUCUUUCUGUUGCCAUAGCGUUUUGAUGUGUAAAUAUAAUAGUUAAAAUCACAGUCUGGAAUGUUUGCACUUGAUUAUUUAACAGCCUUAUGACCAAGGGGGCUCAGCAAGGCAAUCCAUCCCCUUACAAAGAAAGACUCUUCCUCGAAUACAGAUUCUCGCAUCGACCUUUGUCUGAUGUUUUCUCCUGAUUAGAUUCAAGUGAAGUGUGUCCUCAGUAUAUUACAUCUAGAGGCACAGGAUGUCUGUCUGUCCAUUAUAAGGUGUUAUUAAUCUUUAUCACCUGAUCAAGGUGUUAUCCAGUUUCUCCACUUGUAUAUUUCCCUCCUGGCAACUAAUGAGCAAUCUGUGAGGAGAUACUUUGAGACCAAGCAAGCAUCUUGCUCCUGAUCAAACUCUACCCUAUGGUUCAGCCUCCGUUGAUGAUUCUUGCUACAACUGAUAUUUACCGUGAUGGUUACAAACUGUUAAUUUUUCUUUCUAAGUCAUUCAGGCCCUUCACAUUUAUUAGUCCUGAUGCUGCUAUUAAAGAAGAGACUUCCUUAUUUAUUUCUCUACUGUCGGUAUGAAUUCAUGUGUUACUUUCUGUUCAAGAACUUAUAAUCCAUUGCAUUCUUUCUGUCUGCAUUUAUUUAUUAGACUAUUUUUAGGACAGUUUUAUUCACAGAAAAAUUGAGUGGAUAGUACAGAGUUCCCAUGUAACCCCCUCCCUGUUACCUCUUGCAUUAUUAUGGUACAUUGUUACAAUCAACCAAUAUUGAUAUGUUAAUAUAAACUACAGUCCAUAGUUAUUCAGAUUUCCUUAGUUUUUACCUAAUGUCUUUUCUGUUCCAGGAUCCCAUCCAGGAAACGAUAUUACAUAUAGUUGUCAUUUCUCCUUAGGCUCCUCUGGGUUGCAACAGUUUCUCAGACUCUUCUUGUUUUUGAUGACCUUGACAAUUUUGAGGAAAACUGGUGAGGUAUCUUUAGGAUGCCCUUCUCUUGGAAUUUAUCUGAUGCUUUUCUCAUAAUUAGACUAGGGUUGUGGAUUUUUGAGAGAAAGACCACAGAGGUAAAGUGUCAUUUUCAUCACAUCAUAGCAAGGUUACAUACUAUCAACAUAAUUUCUGAUUGUUUAUGUUUAACUUAAUCAGUAGUGAUUGUCAGUUUUCUCCACUGUAAAGUUACUCUCUUACCGCCUUUCCAUACUGCUCUUCUUGGAAGGAAGUCACUGCCCAGCACACGUUUCUGGAGUGGGGGGACCUCAAGCCAAUCACUGUUCCUGCCUCAUAAAGAUUACACCUAGCAGCAAGGGAGGCCACGUUUCCCAGGGGACCUUGAUGGGGGGCGGUCCAAGGCAGCUGCAGAGUGUCCAGUUACAGCAGCAAGGGUCACAUGCUGUAGCCCCGACAGGCCAAGGAUCCAGCAUAUUCUCUGGCGAAGCCUUUCCUGGUUACUUCUCCAGCAUGCCGCAGCCUGGGCUUUGGAUGGCCGUGGCCCCUCUGCUGAUCACCCUCAAUGCAAAGACGGCCAUCCUCUCUCCCCGCAGUGGGGCCCACUUCCACCUCCUGUGCCUUGUCACCUGCUUGCUAGGCCAGCACUGCAUGACUGGGAGCUGCCUGCAGUGCCCCGCAGGCUUUU